rnacentral:rRNA from 1 species
GACGAACGCUGGCGGCGUGCCUAAUACAUGCAAGUAGAACGCUGAAGGAGGAGCUUGCUUCUCCUGAUGAGUUGCGAACGGGUGAGUAACGCGUAGGUAACCUGCCUGGUAGCGGGGGAUAACUAUUGGAAACGAUAGCUAAUACCGCAUAACAGUAGAUGUUGCAUGACAUUUGCUUAAAAGGUGCAAUUGCAUCACUACCAGAUGGACCUGCUUUGUAUUAGCUAGUUGGUGAGGUAACGGCUCACCAAGGCGACGAUACAUAGCCGACCUGAGAGGGGGAUCGGCCACAAUGGGACUGGGACACGGGCCAAAAUCCUACGGGAGGCAGCAGUAGGGAAACUUCGGCAAUGGACGGAAGUCUGGACGAGCAACGCCGCGUGAGUGAAGAAGGUUUUCGGAUCGUAAAGCUCUGUUGUAAGGGAAGAACGAGAGUGAGAGUGGAAAGUUCACACUGUGACGGUAUCCUACCAGAAAGCGACGGCUAACUACGUG